rnacentral:rRNA from 1 species
GAUGAACGCUGGCGGCGUGCUUAACACAUGCAAGUCGAACGGAAAGGCCCAAGCUUGCUUGGGUACUCGAGUGGCGAACGGGUGAGUAACACGUGGGUGAUCUGCCCUGCACUUCGGGAUAAGCCUGGGAAACUGGGUCUAAUACCGGAUAGGACCACUUCUUGGAUGUUGUGGUGGAAAGUUUUUUCGGUGUGGGAUGAGCUCGCGGCCUAUCAGCUUGUUGGUGGGGUAAUGGCCUACCAAGGCGUCGACGGGUAGUCGGCCUGAGAGGGUGUACGGCCACAUUGGGACUGAGAUACGGCCCAGACUCCUACGGGAGGCAGCAGUGGGGAAUAUUGCACAAUGGGCGCAAGCCUGAUGCAGCGACGCCGCGUGGGGGAUGACGGCCUUCGGGUUGUAUACUCCUUUCGCUAGGGACGAAGCGUUUUGUGACGGUACCUGGAGAAGAAGCACCGGCUAACUACGUG